rnacentral:misc_RNA from 1 species
GUAGGUGAACCUGCGGAAGGAUCAUUACAGAAUCGCGGCAGAGGGGCCCUAGAAAGCCCCCGAGCCAACGCAUUCUACCCUGUCUUUUGUAUACCCCUACCUCCUCCCCAGCCCUCGGGCUGGGACGGCUACCCACAAAAAACCUUGCAGUUUACAGUCAAUUCAGUUAUUUUCGCAACGAAAUUACAACUUUCAACAAUGGAUCUCUUGGCUCUG